AUGGAGAAGCUGGCUGCCCACUCUUUGGAUGGGCAUAUGCUCUGCUGGGUGAAACAUUGGCUAGAUGGCUGGGCCCAAAGUGUUUUGGUCAAUGGACUUAAAUCCUGUUGGCGGCUGGUCAUGAAUGGUGUUCGUCAGAGCUUGGUAUUGAGGCCACUUCUAUUUAACAUCUUUAUUAACAAUCUUGAUGAGGGGAUUGAGUGCACCCUCAGUAAGUUUGCAGACGACACCAAGUUGGGAGGGAGUGUUGAUCUACCUGAGGGGAGAAAGGCACUACAGAGGGACCUGGAUAGACUGGAUCGAUGGGCCAAGGUUAACUGUAUGAGUUUCAGUAGGGCCAGGUGUUGGGUCCUGCAUUUUGGUCACAGCAACCCCAGGCAAACCCUACAGGCUUGGGGAGGAGUGGCUGGAAAGCUGCCUGAUGGAAAGGGACCUUUGUGUACUGAUGGACAGUUAACUAAAUAUGAGCCAGCAGUGUGCCCAGGUGGCAUCCUGGCUUGUAUCAGGAAUGUUGUGGUGAGCAGGACUAGGGAGGUCAUCCUGCUUCUGUACUCAGCACUGGUAAGGCCUCACCUCGAGUACUGUGUUCAGUUUUGGGUACCUCAGUACAGAAGGGAUAUUGAGGUGCUGGAGCAGGUCCACAGAAGGGAAACAAGGCUGAUGAAGGGCUUGGAGAAUAUGCCCUAUGAGGUGCAACUGAAGGAACUGGAGCUGUUAAGUCUGGGGAAAAGGAGGCUGAGAAGAGACCUUAUUGCUCUCUUCCAAUACUUGAAAGGUGCUUACAGUGAGAGUGGACUCGGUCUCUUCUCACUGGUGACAGGUGACAGGAUGAGGGGAAAUGGCCUCAAGUUGCACCACAGGAAGUUUAGGUUGGAUAUCAGGAAAAACUUCUUUACAGAAAGGACUGUUAAACACUGGGAUAGGCUCUCCAGGGAGGUGGUUGACUCACCAUCCCUGAAUGUGUUUAAAAACCAUCUGAAUGUGGUGCUCAGGGUUUUAUCAGAAGGUUGUUAGAGUUAGG
rnacentral:lncRNA from 1 species